rnacentral:rRNA from 1 species
AUGAACCCCGCCUCAGCCCUGGGGCCGGACGGCCUGCCAGUAACGUUUUUUAAGACGUUCUGGCAGACCAUCAAGCCAGAGGUCAUGGCUCUGUUUGAGGAAUUCUUCUCGGGUUCCAUGGAUCUUGGGCGCCUUAACUAUGGCAUCGUGACCCUCAUCCCCAAGGUCCCGGGCGCCUCCGACAUCUGCCAAUUUCGUCCUAUCACUGUGAUCAAUGUGAUUUCCCGGAUCUUGGCUAAAGGGUACGCCAAUAGGGUGACCCUGCUCGCGGAUGCCAUUACCCACCCGAAUCAAUCCACCUUCAUUCAAGGCCGAUUUAUUCUUGAUGGGGUUCUG